rnacentral:lncRNA from 1 species
GCUUUAGGUACAUAUGGAGGAAGGAGAUAACAGAAAACUAUUUUAAGCAAGUUAACAAUUUUUUCAAUUACUUCCUAGCUUUCCUUUAUUCUUUAUUCUUAAUUUUACCAUGAAGAUGGGGUAGACAGGAAGAAGGCACAUUUCUCUAGCAUCUGGUUCCAGAACGAUAGGAACUGAGUAAUGUUAAGAUCAGAGGCGGUGUGACCCUGUCUCUACAAAAGAUUUUUAAAGCCCUCUCCCCUCUCCCCUCUCCCCUCUCCCUCUCCGUCUCCCCACGGUCUCCCUCUCCCUCUCUUGCCACGGUCUCCCUCUGAUGCCCAGCCGAAGCUGGACUGUGCUGCUGCCAUCUUGGCUCACUGCAACCUCCCUGCCUGAUUCUCCUGCCUCAGCCUGCCGAGUGCCUGCGAUUGUAGGCGCGGGCCCCCACGCCUGACUGGUUUUCGUAUUUUUUUGGUGGAGAGGGGGUUUCGCUGUGUUGGCUGGGCUGGUUUCCAGCUCCUAACCGCGAGUGAUCCGCCAGCCUCGGCCUCCCGAGUUGCCGGGAUGGCAGACGGAGUUGCGUUCACUCAGUGCUCAAUGGUGCCCAGGCUGGAGUGCAGUGGCGUGAUCUCUGCUCGCUACAACCUCCACCUCCCAGCUGCCUGCCUUGGCCCCCCAAAGUGCCGAGAUUGCAGCCUCUGCCCGGCCGCCACCCCGUCUAGGAAGUGAGGAGCGUCUCUGCCUGGCCGCCCAUCGUCUGGGAUGUGAGGAGCCUCUCUGCCUGGCUGCCCAGUCUGGAAAGUGAGGAGCGUCUCUGCCCGGCCGCCAUCCCAUCUAGGAAGUGAGGAGUGUCUCUGCCCGGCCGCCCAUCAUCUGAGAUGUGGGGAGCACCUCUGCCCUGCCGCCCCGUCUGGGAUGUGAGGAGUGUCUCUGCCCGGCCGCCCCGUCUGAGAAGUGAGGAGACCCUCUGCCUGGCAACCGCCCCGUCUGAGAAGUGAGAAGCCCCUCCGCCCGGCAGCCACACCGUCUGAGAAGCGAGGAGCCCCUCCGCCCAGCAGCCACCCCGUGUGGGAAGUGAGGAGCGUCUCCGCCCGACAGCCACCCCGUCCGGGAGGGAGGUGGGGGGUCAGCCCCCCGCCCGGCCAGCCGCCCCGUCCAGAAGGGAGGUGGGGGGGUCAGCCCCCCGCCCGGCCAGCCGCCCCGUCCGGGAGGUGAGGGGCGCCUCUGCCCGGCCGCCCCUACUGGGAAGUGAGGAGCCCCUCUGCCCGGCCACCACCCCGUCUGGGAGGUGUACUCAACAGCUCAUUGAGAACAGGCCAUGAUGACAAUGGCGGUUUUGUGGAAUAGAAAGGGGGGAAAGGUGGGGAAAAGAUUGAGAAAUCGGAUGGCUGCCGUGUCUGUGUAGAAAGAGGUAGACAUGGGAGACUUUUCAUUUUGUUCUGUACUAAGAAAAAUUCUUCUGCCUUGGGAUCCUGUUGAUCUGUGACCUUACCCCCAACCCUGUGCUCUCUGAAACAUGUGCUGUGUCUACUCAGGGUUGAAUGGAUUAAGGGUGGUGCAAGAUGUGCUUUGUUAAACAGAUGCUUGAAGGCAGCAUGCUCGUUAAGAGUCAUCGCCACUCCCUAAUCUCAAGUACCCAGGGACACAAACACUGCGGAAGGCCGCAGGGUCCUCUGCCUAGGAAAACCAGAGACCUUUGUUCACUUGUUUAUCUGCUGACCUUCCCUCCACUAUUGUCCUGUGACCCUGCCAAAUCCCCCUCUGCGAGAAACACCCAAGAAUGAUCAAUAAAAAAAAUAAAAUAAAAAAUAAAUAAAUAAAUAAAUAAUUAAAAAAAUAAAAAAAUAAAAAAAAGAUCAGAGGCUUCUUAAAUCAAGUUUGUAUCUAAGUUCUGGUCCAGUCUGUGCUACUUAGCAUGGGAUUUUAAGCCAAUUGUUUGUUGGCUUUGAGCCUCAGUUUUCUCAUUUGUAAAAUAGGAUAAGAGUGGGUUGCAAAUU